UACGGGGGGAGCAAGCGUUGUUCGGAUUUACUGGGCGUAAAGGGCGCGUAGGCGGUCAGCACAAGUCAGUUGUGAAAUCUCCGGGCUUAACUCGGAAAGGUCAACUGAUACUGUGCGACUAGAGUGCAGAAGGGGCAACUGGAAUUCUCGGUGUAGCGGUGAAAUGCGUAGAUAUCGAGAGGAACACCUGCGGCGAAGGCGGGUCUCUGGGCAAUUCCUGACGCUGAGGCGCGAAAGCGUGGGGAGCAAACGGG
rnacentral:rRNA from 1 species